AUUGAACGCUGGCGGCAGGCCUAACACAUGCAAGUCGAGCGGAUGAAGGGAGCUUGCUCCUGGAUUCAGCGGCGGACGGGUGAGUAAUGCCUAGGAUUCUGCCUGGUAGUGGGGGAUAACGUCCGGAAACGGGCGCUAAUACCGCAUACGUCCUGAGGGAGAAAGUGGGGGAUCUUCGGACCUCACGCUAUCAGAUGAGCCUAGGUCGGAUUAGCUAGUUGGUGGGGUAAAGGCCUACCAAGGCGGCGAUCCGUAACUGGUCUGAGAGGAUGAUCAGUCACACUGGAACUGAGACACGGUCCAGACUCCUACGGGAGGCAGCAGUGGGGAAUAUUGGACAAUGGGCGAAAGCCUGAUCCAGCCAUGCCGCGUGUGUGAAGAAGGUCUUCGGAUUGUAAAGCACUUUAAGUUGGGAGGAAGGGCAGUAAGUUAAUACCUUGCUGUUUUGACGUUACCAACAGAAUAAGCACCGGCUAACUUCGUG
rnacentral:rRNA from 1 species